rnacentral:rRNA from 1 species
GAUGAACGCUGGCGGCGUGCUUAACACAUGCAAGUCGAACGGAAAGGCUCCUGCUUGCAGGGGUACUCGAGUGGCGAACGGGUGAGUAACACGUGGGUGAUCUGCCCUGCACUUCGGGAUAAGCCUGGGAAACUGGGUCUAAUACCGGAUAGGACGAUGGUUUGGAUGCCAUUGUGGAAAGUUUUUCGGUGUGGGAUGAGCUCGCGGCCUAUCAGCUUGUUGGUGGGGUAAUGGCCUAACAAGGCGUCGACGGGUAGCCGGCCUGAGAGGGUGUACGGCCACAUUGGGACUGAGAUACGGCCCAGACUCCUACGGGAGGCAGCAGUGGGGAAUAUUGCACAAUGGGCGCCAGCCUGAUGCAGCGACGCCGCGUGGGGGAUGACGGCCUUCGGGUUGUAAACUCCUUUCGCUAGGGACGAAGCGUUUUGUGACGGUACCUGGAGAAGAAGCACCGGCUAACUACGUG